rnacentral:rRNA from 1 species
GACGAACGCUGGCGGCGUGCUUAACACAUGCAAGUCGAACGGAAAGGCCCUGCUUUUGUGGAGUGCUCGAGUGGCGAACGGGUGAGUAACACGUGAGUAACCUGCCCUUGACUUUGGGAUAACUUCAGGAAACUGGGGCUAAUACCGGAUAGGAGCUCCUGCUGCAUGGUGGGGGUUGGAAAGUUUCGGCGGUUGGGGAUGGACUCGCGGCUUAUCAGCUUGUUGGUGGGGUAGUGGCUUACCAAGGCUUUGACGGGUAGCCGGCCUGAGAGGGUGACCGGCAAAAUAGGGAAGGAAAAACGCCCGGAACACAGAGGGAGGGAAGAAGGGGGAAAAAUGGAAAAAGGGGGGAAGGCGGGAGCAAGAAAGGCGGGGGGGGGGAGGAGGGCUUUGGGGUUGAAAACGGUUUCCACGGGGAAAAAAGGGGGAGGGAGGGAAAGGGAUAAAGAAGAACGGAAAAACUAGGUG